rnacentral:miRNA from 1 species
GAACCGUGGCAAUAGAUGACCUCU